CCUACGGGCGGCAGCAGUGAGGAAUAUUGGUCAAUGGACGAGAGUCUGAACCAGCCAAGUAGCGUGAAGGAUGACUGCCCUAUGGGUUGUAAGCUUCUUUUAUAAAGGAAUAAAACGAGGCACGUGUGCCUUUUUGCAUGUACUUUAUCAAUAAGGAUCGGCUAACUCCGUCCCAGCAGCCGCCGUAAUACGGAGGAUCCGAGCGUUAUCCGGAUUUAUUGGGUUGAAAGGGAGCGUAGAUGGGUUGUUAAGUCAGUUGUGAAAGUUUGCGGCUCAACCGUAAAAUUGCAAUUGAUACUGGCAGGCUUGAGUACAGUUGAGGUAGGCGGAAUUCGUGGUGUAGCGGUGAAAUGCUUAGAUAUCACGAAGAACCCCGAUUGCGAAGGCAGCUUACUAAACUGUGACUGACAUUGAUGCUCGAAAGUGUGGGUAUCAAACAGGAUUAGAUACCCCUGUAGUC
rnacentral:rRNA from 1 species